ensembl:lncRNA
GUUUAUAAUGACACAUCUCUCAUUAUGACAUCAUUAGAACACACUGAAGACAGGUUUAUAAUGACACAUCUCUCAUUAUGACAACAUUAGAACAGACUGAAGACAGGUUUAUAAGGACACAUCUCUCAUUAUGACAUCAUUAGAACACACUGAAGACAGGUUUAUAAUGACACAUCUCUCAUUAUGACAUCAUUAGAACACACUGAAGACAGGUUUAUAAUGACACAUCUCUCAUUAUGACAUCAUUAGAACAGACUGAAGACAGGUUUAUAAUGACACAUCUCUCAUUAUGACAGACUGAAGACAGGUUUAUAA